AUUCCCAGUACAGCGUGGAGGGGUUAGGCAGCGUGUCUGAUUCUCUGCGGAACGGCGAGCACAUUUGUGCUUUGCCCGCCGCGGCCCAGGAGGCCUUUUGGGGCCGCGUAGUCGGUGUUUUUGAACUGACUCCACAGCUCGUGGCGGGCCGUGCGGCGCCCUGACCCGGCCUGACCAUGUUGGUGCUGUUUGAAACGUCUGUGGGCUACGCCAUCUUUAAGGUUCUAAAUGAGAAGAAACUUCAAGAGGUUGAUAGUUUAUGGAAAGAAUUUGAAACUCCAGAGAAAGCAAACAAAAUGUAAGUAAUCUUGAAAUCAGUAAUUUAGCAGUUAACAUUUAGGGCUUGUUUUAUUUUUUACAUUUUUUCCUGAUUUAUAUAAUGUUACAUUCAUAGUUUUCUGUUUUGAAAUCUGUUUCAGGAAUAAUUUUGGUAUGAACCUAUUUAUUACAAAUGUUUUACUUGGAAUAUAGGCCAUCUCAAUUAAUUUGAAGGCAGUAGUUCCCCCCCCCCCUUACCCACAGGGAUUAUGUUCCAGAAGACCCAGUGGAUACGUUAAAUCUUGGAUACUACCAAAUGUGAUUGCUGUCAGUAGGAACACGUUUGUCUUCAUGUCUUCCACACACAAAUGUAAUACCUUUUUUAUCUUAACUAAGCACUUACCACACACAGAGGUUGUAACCUGCUUUUUGAGUUUUGCAACAGCAAAACUAGCAUGAACUACUUUUUCUUUCAUCACAAUUUCAUGGAAGAUUCAUUCUUAGUGUAGAUUUUAAAUCUUUGUUUUUUUUGUUUGUUU
rnacentral:sRNA from 1 species